rnacentral:ncRNA from 1 species
AAUCAAGGAAACAUUUGAGGGUAUUCCAUAACUUUUUCCCCUUCAAGAAAUAUCAUUGACAACAUGCACUCAUUUUCCUCCUCUGCAUCAAUCAUGUGAAAAUCCCCACAAACUAACAAAUGGAUUUCCAAUGAUUUGUCAAUAAUCCAUUUCUAUAAAAGGGCACAUUCAUCAUUAGACACAUAGAAGUUGGAUAAAACCAACAACCUUCCAUCCAGAGUCAACAAAAUUGAAACCCAUUUUUUAGAGUUGUUGGUGCCUCAUCCUAUAACUGACGACAACAUUAGGAAAUCUGGAGACGUCGUUGGGGGCCUCGAGAAGAGUUAUAUGUAUAUUUUUAACAGCUUUCCCACCCUGAAAUUGGCUCAACUAGAGAUAGGGUCUAACAGCUGGAAGAGAAUCGCAUGUCUUGCAAUGUCUGGUGUGCCCUCGACGACCCUUGAAAAUAUGGAGGACCGAGUACCGUCCAAUUGUACUCAUAAUCGCAUCAGGUCUCCAAGGUGAACAAACUUUGGUCAAUAUAAAAAUGUAGGUAAGGGACAUCUGAAAAACGGAUUCGUAACUUCGGUAAAAGGAUUGGCUCUGAGAGCCGGGCCUAGGGGUCUACGUCCUCAACCCGUGGGUUGUCAGCAGUCUUCCUGAGCCGCUAUCAUGGAGAGGGCGGGUAGUCAUGUGUCGAUUGGGCUACAAAUGUAGGAUGCCCCCUUGCAGGGUAUUUUCCCUAGAUGGCAAAUGGAUGGUGGAAAUUCCCACAGGGAGAAACACCAAUUUUCGUGGACCGUUGGAUCUAGUAGAUAUGCGGGGAGAAUAAGGGAGAGAGUUUUUCAACACUUGUAAGCUCAGGAGGAAUAGUAGCCAUUAGAUCUGAAGGAGCAAGAGCCAUUGAUUUAGCGCUCUGAAAUAUCAACAUUUCGGGAGUCGAGAGUGUGGAGGAAGUUGCAAUUUAGAAUUCGUGAGUUGCGAAAUCCCAGUUCACAAAGGAAGAACCUAGAGCGUCGGAUUAGGGAGAUGAGGGCUGUCGAUAUGGCAUAGCAAUCAUCGCGAGUUUGUAUUUCAGGAAAAGGGAAGAGAACCACUUCACAAACCCCCUAUACAUGAAAUCCCGACGUGCUCAGAGGUUGGGCCCUAGGUCGCAGCUGGAGGUCAACCGGAGCAAACUUACAAAAUUGGGGAAGACUUGAAAAUUUGGAAGUGAGCUUGUUCUUCUUUGAAAUCGAUGAUUUUAUACUCUCUC